rnacentral:rRNA from 1 species
UGAACGCUGGCGGCAUGCCUUACACAUGCAAGUCGAACGGCAGCACGGGUGCUUGCACCUGGUGGCGAGUGGCGAACGGGUGAGUAAUACAUCGGAACAUGUCCUGUAGUGGGGGAUAGCCCGGCGAAAGCCGGAUUAAUACCGCAUACGAUCUACGGAUGAAAGCGGGGGACCUUCGGGCCUCGCGCUAUAGGGUUGGCCGAUGGCUGAUUAGCUAGUUGGUGGGGUAAAGGCCUACCAAGGCGACGAUCAGUAGCUGGUCUGAGAGGACGACCAGCCACACUGGGACUGAGACACGGCCCAGACUCCUACGGGGGGCAGCAGUGGGGAAUUUUGGACAAUGGGCGAAAGCCUGAUCCAGCAAUGCCGCGUGUGUGAAGAAGGCCUUCGGGUUGUAAAGCACUUUUGUCCGGAAAGAAAUCCUUGGCUCUAAUACAGUCGGGGGAUGACGGUACCGGAAGAAUAAGCACCGGCUAACUACGUGCCAGCAGCCGCGGUAAUACGUAGGGUGCGAGCGUUAAUCGGAAUUACUGGGCGUAAAGCGUGCGCAGGCGGUUUGCUAAGACCGAUGUGAAAUCCCCGGGCUCAACCUGGGAACUGCAUUGGUGACUGGCAGGCUAGAGUAUGGCAGAGGGGGGUAGAAUUCCCACGUGUAGCAGUGAAAUGCGUAGAGAUGUGGAGGAAUACCGAUGGCGAAAGGCAGCCCCCUGGGCCAAUACUGACGCUCAUGCACGAAAGCGUGGGGAGCAAACAGGAUUAGAUACCCUGGUAGUCCACGCCCUAAACGAUGUCAACUAGUUGUUGGGGAUUCAUUUCCUUAGUAACGUAGCUAACGCGUGAAGUUGACCGCCUGGGGAGUACGGUCGCAAGAUUAAAACUCAAAGGAAUUGACGGGGACCCGCACAAGCGGUGGAUGAUGUGGAUUAAUUCGAUGCAACGCGAAAAACCUUACCUACCCUUGACAUGGUCGGAAUCCUGCUGAGAGGCGGGAGUGCUCGAAAGAGAACCGGCGCACAGGUGCUGCAUGGCUGUCGUCAGCUCGGGUCGUGAGAUGUUGGGUUAAGUCCCGCAACGAGCGCAACCCUUGUCCUUAGUUGCUACGCAAGAGCACUCUAAGGAGACUGCCGGUGACAAACCGGAGGAAGGUGGGGAUGACGUCAAGUCCUCAUGGCCCUUAUGGGUAGGGCUUCACACGUCAUACAAUGGUCGGAACAGAGGGUUGCCAACCCGCGAGGGGGAGCUAAUCCCAGAAAACCGAUCGUAGUCCGGAUUGCACUCUGCAACUCGAGUGCAUGAAGCUGGAAUCGCUAGUAAUCGCGGAUCAGCAUGCCGCGGUGAAUACGUUCCCGGGUCUUGUACACACCGC